AGAGUGAACGCUGGCGGCAGGCCUAAUACAUGCAAGUCGAACGGCAGCACGGCAGAGCUUGCUCUGUGGGUGGCGAGUGGCGGACGGGUGAGGAAUACAUGGGAAUCUGCCCAGUCGUGGGGGAUAACGUAUGGAAACGUACGCUAAUACCGCAUGCGCCCUUCGGGGGAAAGCCGGGGACCUUCGGGCCUGGCGCGAUUGGAUGAGCCCAUGUCGGAUUAGCUAGUUGGCGGGGUAACGCCCACCAAGGCGACGAUCCGUAGCUGGUCUGAGAGGAUGAUCAGCCACACUGGAACUGAGACACGGUCCAGACUCCUACGGGAGGCAGCAGUAGGGAACUAGUUGGACAAGUGGACGACAAGCCUGAUCCAGCCAUGCCGCGUGUGU
rnacentral:rRNA from 1 species